GUUGGAUGCUAAAUUUUGUAUUAAUAUACUAAGAAUGUGUUUUAUUCUCAUAAAAUUAUCCCCUUUUUCAUCAAAUUGUUUUGUGUAAGACCAACUUCCUUAGGUAGGAGCCAAAUAAAACAUGAUACCUUGUAGGGUAUACUCGCUUUCCAUAUAGUUUUCCAGGGCCAGUUGACAAUUGGUUGAUUGUGAGUAUUCAACCAUCUGUAUGCUUUGCCAACCUGGAAGUUUCCUCUGUCACUGCCUUGCCACCAAAGUUCAUCUUCUUCUACUUUUGUUAUUUUAAACUGG
rnacentral:misc_RNA from 1 species